GGGAACUCUAGUUUCUCCUCGCUUGAAUCUAGGCUCUUUUGUGACUUGCUUGUAACCGAUAGACACCAUCUGAGGUGGUGCCUCAUGACUUCUGGAGCCAGCUCUUAAAACGAGAAUGUAAAUUCCACCUUAUUUGCUUGAAUGGUUACUCUGGAGCCCAGAGCUUCCUUGUUAACAGUCUGGUUGGUCCCUGGCCGCUGUGUUCGGAGGAACCCAAACUAGUACAACUCAGGAGGAUUCCAUGGAGAAGUCUUGGGACCAGUGAAGUGAGAUCGAUGCUAGGCCAGUUUCCAGCUGCUCCUGCUCCCUCCACCUCACUUAUUCUGGUUCCAGCCAAUCUGGGACUGCAAUCUCAUGAGAGAUAUUUUAACCAGAAGCAUCCAGUCAAGACUUCCUGAAUGUCUGGCCCACAGAAACUGAGAUGAUAAGAUGAUUGCUGUUGUUUUAAGCCAUCGAGUUUUGAGAUGAACUUGAAAGUAAUUUUCAUUAUGUUGUAAAAUAAUCCUGUUGGAUUUUGAUUGGAAUUGCAUAGAGUUGGUAGUCUAUUUUAAAGAGAAUUGACAUCUUUACAACACCAAGUCUUUCCAUCCAGAAACAAGGUAUGUCUUUAAAUUUAUUUUUACUGGAGUAUAAUUGAGAAAAUUUUGUAUUAGUUUCAAGUGUACAACAGAAUAAUUCAAUAUUUGUAUACAUUGUGAAAUGAUCACCAUAGUAAUGACAUUUGUCACCUUGCAUAGUAAGAAAGUUUCUUUUGUUGUGAUGAGAACUUUUAAGAUCUAUUCUCUUAGCAGCUUUCAGAUGUGCAAUACAGUAUUAUUAAAUAGUCACCAUGUUGUACAUUACAUCCCAUGA
ensembl:lncRNA